rnacentral:rRNA from 1 species
GGGGAAUUUUCCGCAAUGGGCGAAAGCCUGACGGAGCAAUACCGCGUGAGGGAAGACUGCCUAUGGGUUGUAAACCUCUUUUUUCAGGGAGGAAUAAAUGACGUGUACCUGAAGAAUAAGCAUCGGCUAACUCCGUGCCAGCAGCCGCGGUAAGACGGAGGAUGCAAGUGUUAUCCGGAAUCACUGGGCGUAAAGCGUCUGUAGGUGGUCAAAUAAGUCAACUGUUAAAUCUUGAGGCUCAACCUCAAAAUCGCAGUCGAAACUAUUAGACUAGAGUAUAGUAGGGGUAAAGGGAAUUUCCAGUGGAGCGGUGAAAUGCGUAGAUAUUGGAAAGAACACCGAUGGCGAAGGCACUUUACUGGGCUAUUACUAACACUGAGAGACGAAGGCUAGGGUAGCAAAUGGGAUUAGAUACCCCAGUAGUC